GGGGCUGCAUGGAUUUGACAACGUGUAGAAAAGGUAUGUAAGCAUGCCGAGCGCUGAGUUUACGGCUCGUUAAUCCCGAAUCUCAAAAAAUUAUCUGGCGAAACUAAUUACGCUCUCGCUGCUUAAUUGAAGUAUAGUAGAUUAAGCUUUAUCCCUGCACAAGGUGCGGGGACGAGACAUCUCCCAAGCGCCCUCUCCUCGAGGCUGCUUGAUAUGGAGGUGCAGCAAAAUCGAGGAUAGUUGCAUUUUGCCUUGAAAAUGCAAUGAAAAACUCAAAGGAUAAGGUACAGGUUGGUAGCUUCGGCCUUGCCUGUACACGAAAAACCAAGCGAAGCUAAGCAUGUAGAAAGCAUAUUGUUUCCAUGUUUGGACGAGGGUUCAACUCCCUCCAGCUCCACAA
rnacentral:tmRNA from 2 species